rnacentral:rRNA from 1 species
UGAGGAAUAUUGGUCAAUGGGCGGGAGCCUGAACCAGCCAAGUCGCGUGAAGGAAGAAGGAUCUAUGGUUCGUAAACUUCUUUUGCAGGGGAAUAAAGUGCAGGACGUGUCCUGUUUUGUAUGUACCCUGAGAAUAAGGAUCGGCUAACUCCGUGCCAGCAGCCGCGGUAAUACGGAGGAUCCGAGCGUUAUCCGGAUUUAUUGGGUUUAAAGGGUGCGUAGGUGGUUUGAUAAGUCAGCGGUGAAAGUUUGCAGCUUAACUGUAAAAAUGCCGUUGAAACUGUCGGACUUGAGUGUAAAUGAGGUAGGCGGAAUGCGCGGUGUAGCGGUGAAAUGCAUAGAUAUCACGCAGAACUCCGAUUGCGAAGGCAGCUUACUAAGCUACAACUGACACUGAAGCACGAAAGCGUGGGGAUCAAACA